rnacentral:lncRNA from 1 species
AUGGAGGUUCCCAGGCUAGGGGUCGAAUCAGAGCUACACCUGCCAGCCUACACCACAGCCAUUCCAGAUCCCAGCCAAGUCUGCAACAUACACCAUAGCUCAAGGCAACGCUGGAUCCUUAACCCACUUAGCGAGAAGUCCAGGGAUCAAACCCGCAACCUCAUGGUUCCUAGUCGGAUUUGUUUCCAGUGUGCCACGAUGGGAACUCCUGUUUCAUUUUUAAACAAAGUAUAUAAAUUUAGUCCAAUAUAAAUAUGUUCGUGAAUAUAGCCACUCAUGGAAACUACAGAGAUACACAAUUGUAAGCAGUUAUGUAAGUAGGUACUAUUCGUAAUUAAUAUGAUAUGGACUCUGAUGAUGCCCUAUGUUUUUGAACUUGCUGUAAAGGUGAAUCCUCAGUUCUGUCUUAAACACUUUAGGAAAUGCUCAUCAGUCACCCUCCUCACCCUUAACUCACGAUUUGAUGAAUUUGGCACAUAAGUGGUUACAAAUGGAAUAGCCUAGGGACUUGUUUUGAGCAACUCCACCACCAGAAGGUAAAACUCAGGAACCAUAAUCCUUGACAUAACCUAACCUAUUUUUUUCUUCACUUUGAGCCAAAGAAAAACUCAGCUUUACUCCUUCUUUACCCUGCAUUACCAGACUUAACCAUUAAUGUUGUAUUACAUUGGAUCUUUCAUAGUUUCUUAGCAAUUGUCCCCAAAGUUUAUUUUUUUGGCUUUGCCCACAGCAUACAGAAGUUCAUGGGCCAGGGACUGAACCCACGCCACAGCUGCAGCCAGUGCCACAUCAGUGACAACACAGGAUCUUUUCCCAGCUAGGCCACCAGGGAACUGCAAUAAAAACUUAUUUUAAGUUUUAAACA